rnacentral:rRNA from 1 species
GAUGAACGCUGGCGGCGUGCCUAAUACAUGCAAGUCGAGCGAACAGACGAGGAGCUUGCUCCUCUGACGUUAGCGGCGGACGGGUGGGUAACACGUGGAUAACCUACCUAUAAGACUGGGAUAACUUCGGGAAACCGGAGCUAAUACCGGAUAAUAUAUUGAACCGCAUGGUUCAAUAGUGAAAGACGGUUUUGCUGUCACUUAUAGAUGGAUCCGCGCCGCAUUAGCUAGUUGGUAAGGUAACGGCUUACCAAGGCAACGAUGCGUAGCCGACCUGAGAGGGUGAUCGGCCACACUGGAACUGAGACACGGUCCAGACUCCUACGGGAGGCAGCAGUAGGGAAUCUUCCGCAAUGGGCGAAAGCCUGGCGGAGCAACGCCGCGUGAGUGAUGAAGGUCUUCGGAUCGUAAAACUCUGUUAUUAGGGAAGAACAAAUGUGUAAGUAACUAUGCACGUCUUGACGGUACCUAAUCAGAAAGCCACGGCUAACUACGUG